rnacentral:rRNA from 1 species
AUACGGAGGGUGCAAGCGUUACUCGGAAUCACUGGGCGUAAAGCGCGCGCAGGCGGCUAUUUAAGUUGGAUGUGAAAGCCUACGGCUCAACCGUAGAACUGCAUCCAAAACUAUUUAGCUAGAGUGGGGGAGAGGAAGAUGGAAUUAGUUGUGUAGGGGUAAAAUCCGUAGAGAUAACUAGGAAUACCAAAAGCGAAGGCAAUCUUCUGGAACACUACUGACGCUGAGGCGCGAAAGCGUGGGGAGCAAACGGGAUUAGAAACCCUAGUAGUCC